rnacentral:rRNA from 1 species
CCCUUAGAUGUCCUGGGCCGCACGCGCGUUACACUGAUGCAUUCAACGAGCUUAUAACCUUGGCCGAGAGGCCUGGGCAAUCUUGUUAACGUGCAUCGUGAUAGGGAUAGAUUAUUGAAAUUAUUAAUCUUGGACGAGGAAUUCCUAGUAAACGCAGAUCAUCAAUCUGCAUUGAUUACGUCCCUGCCCUUUGUACACACCGCCCGUCGCACCUACCGAUUGGAUGGUCCGGUGAAGCCUCGGGAUUGUGGUUCUUGCCGCUUUAUUGUGGCGUGGCUGCGAGAACUUGUCUAAACCUUAUCAUCUAGAGGAAGGUGAAGUCGUAACA